UGGUCCUACGGGGGGCAGCAGUGGGGAAUAUUGCACAAUGGGGGAAACCCUGAUGCAGCGACGCCGCGUGGGCGACGAAGCGCUCCGGCGCGUAAAGCCCUGUCAGCAGGGAAGAACAAAGACAGUACCUGACCAAGAAGCCCCGGCUAACUACGUGCCAGCAGCCGCGGUAAUACGUAGGGGGCAAGCGUUAUCCGGAUUCACUGGGCGUAAAGGGAGCGCAGGCGGCACGGCAAGUCUGGUGUGAAAGCACGGGGCGCAACCCCGGGACGGCAUUGGAAAUUGCAGGGCUGGAGUGCCGGAGG
rnacentral:rRNA from 1 species